rnacentral:rRNA from 1 species
GAUGUACGCUAGCGGGAGGCUUAACACAUGCAAGUCGAGGGGCAGCACGAGAUAGCAAUAUUUUGGUGGCGACCGGCGCACGGGUGAGUAACGCGUAUGUAACCUACCCAGUACAGGGGGAUAACCCGGAGAAAUCCGGACUAAUACCCCAUAAUGAUAUUUGGUGGCAUCACUGGAUAUUUAAAACUCAGGUGGUACUGGAUGGGCAUGCGUGACAUUAGCUAGUUGGUAGGGUAACGGCCUACCAAGGCUGCGAUGUCUAGGGGUCCUGAGAGGGUGAUCCCCCACACUGGUACUGAGACACGGACAAGACUCCUACGGGAGGCAGCAGUGAGGAAGAUUGGUUAAUGGGCGCAAGCCUGAACCAGCCAUCCCGCGUGCAGGAAGACGGCGCUAUGCGUUGUAAACUGCUUUUCCAGGGGGCGAAUAGCUUCUACGCGUAGGGGUAUGACGGUACCCUGGGAAUAAGCAUCGGCUAACUCCGUGCCAGCCGCCGCGGUAAAAC